GGUAUCCUGUCUGAAUAUGGGGGGCCCAUCCUCCAAGGCUAAAUACUCCUGACUGACCGAUAGUGAACCAGUACCGUGAGGGAAAGGCGAAAAGAACCCCGGCGAGGGGAGUGAAAAAGAACCUGAAACCGUGUACGUACAAGCAGUGGGAGCACGCUUAGGCGUGUGACUGCGUACCUUUUGUAUAAUGGGUCAGCGACUUAUAUUCUGUAGCAAGGUUAACCGAAUAGGGGAGCCGAAGGGAAACCGAGUCUUAACUGGGCGUUAAGUUGCAGGGUAUAGACCCGAAACCCGGUGAUCUAGCCAUGGGCAGGUUGAAGGUUGGGUAACACUAACUGGAGGACCGAACCGACUAAUGUUGAAAAAUUAGCGGAUGACUUGUGGCUGGGGGUGAAAGGCCAAUCAAACCGGGAGAUAGCUGGUUCUCCCCGAAAGCUAUUUAGGUAGCGCCUCGUGAAUUCAUCUCCGGGGGUAGAGCACUGUUUCGGCA
rnacentral:rRNA from 1 species